UACGAAGGGGGCUAGCGUUGCUCGGAAUCACUGGGCGUAAAGGGUGCGUAGGCGGGGCUUUAAGUCAGGGGUGAAAUCCUGGAGCUCAACUCCAGAACUGCCUUUGAUACUGAAGAUCUUGAGUUCGGGAGAGGUGAGUGGAACUGCGAGUGUAGAGGUGAAAUUCGUAGAUAUUCGCAAGAACACCAGUGGCGAAGGCGGCUCACUGGAUCGGUACUGACGCUGAGGUGCGAAAGCGUGGGGAGCAAACAGG
rnacentral:rRNA from 1 species